rnacentral:misc_RNA from 1 species
CGGAGGAGCGUGUCUUUAUCGGAGGAGCAGGAAUUUCUUGCGAGGAGCGCGUCACAGCCCCGAGAUCCCAUGGCGCCCGCCGGAGGACCAACUCCAAACUCUUUUUUCUCUCCGUCGCGGCUCCCGUCGCGGCUCUGUUUUAUUUUUGCUCUGAGCCUUUCUCGGCGACCCUAGCGGGCGUCUCGAAAAUGAAUCAAAACUUUCAACAACGGAUCUCUUGGUUCUGGCAUCGAUGAAGAACGCAGCGAAAUGCGAUAAGUAAUGUGAAUUGCAGAAUUCAGUGAAUCAUCGAAUCUUUGAACGCACAUUGCGCCCGCCAGUAUUCUGGCGGGCAUGCCUGUCCGAGCGUCAUUUCAACCCUCGAACCCCUCCGGGGGGUCGGCGUUGGGGAUCGGCCCCUCACCGGGCCGCCCCCGAAA